rnacentral:rRNA from 1 species
AUUAGGAAUCUUGCGCAAUGGGGGAAACCCUGACGCAGCGACGCCGCGUGAAGGAUGAAGUCUUUCGGGAUGUAAACUUCUUUUAUCAGGGAAGAAGAAUGUGACGGUACCUGAUGAAUAAGCCCCGGCUAACUACGUGCCAGCAGCCGCGGUGAUACGUAGGGGGCGAGCGUUGUCCGAAUUUACUGGGCGUAAAGAGCGCGUAGGCGGACUCUUAAGUGAGAGGUGAAAGGUUCAGGGCUCAACCCGAACAGUGCCUUUCAUACUGGGAGUCUUGAGUGUGGGAGAGGCGAGUGGAAUUUCUGGUGUAGCGGUGAAAUGCGUAGAUAUCAGAAGGAACACCCAUGGCGAAGGCAGCUCGCUGGCCUACAACUGACGCUGAGGCGCGAAAGCGUGGGGAGCAAACAG